rnacentral:rRNA from 1 species
UACGUAGGCAGCGAGCGUUGUUCGGAGUUACUGGGCGUAAAGGGUGUGUAGGCGGUUCUUUAGGUUUGGUGUGAAAUCUCCCGGCUCAACCGGGAGGGUGCGCCGAAUACUGAGGAACUAGAGUACGGGAGAGGAAAGUGGAAUUCCUGGUGUAGCGGUGAAAUGCGUAGAUAUCAGGAGGAACACCGGUGGUGUAGACGGCUUUCUGGACCGUAACUGACGCUGAGACACGAAAGCGUGGGUAGCAAACAGG